rnacentral:rRNA from 1 species
GAUAAACGCUGGCGGCGUGCAUAAAACAUGUAAGUCGAACGGGGGAGGCCGCAAGGCCAAGCCUAGUGGCGGACGGCUGAGUAACGCGUAGGUGACCUGCCCUGAAGUGGGGAAUAACGCUUCGAAAGAAGCGCUAAUACCGCAUGAGGUUGUGCGUGUAGGCACGUGCAACGAAAGCCCGCAAGGGCGCUUUUGGAGGGGCCUGCGUCCGAUUAGCUAGUUGGUGGGGUAAUAGCCUACCAAGGCGACGAUCGGUAGCUGAUCUGAGAGGAUGAUCAGCCAGACUGGGACUGAGACACGGCCCAGACUCCUACGGGUGGCUG